UCCUACGGGGGGCAGCAGUGAGGAAUAUUGGUCAAUGGGCGCAAGCCUGAACCAGCCAAGUCGCGUGAGGGAAGACGGCCCUACGGGUUGUAACCUCUUUUGCCGGGGAGCAAGCCUGAGCACGUGUGCCCAGGCGGAGAGUACCCGGAGAAAAAGCAUCGGCUAACUCCGUGCCAGCAGCCGCGGUAAUACGUAGGGAGCAAGCGUUAUCCGGAUUUAUUGGGUGUAAAGGGUGCGUAGACGGGUAUACAAGUUAGUAGUGAAAUCCCUCGGCUUAACUGAGGAACUGCUACUAAAACUAUAUA
rnacentral:rRNA from 1 species